rnacentral:rRNA from 1 species
AUUGAACGCUGGCGGCAUGCUUUACACAUGCAAGUCGAACGGGGUGAGGGGGCAACUCUUCAUUCAGUGGCGAACGGGUGAGUAAUGCAUCGGAACGUGCCCCGUAGUGGGGGAUAACCCGGCGAAAGCCGGGCUAAUACCGCAUACGCUCUACGGAGGAAAGCAGGGGACCCGCGAGGGCCUUGUGCUAGGGGGGCGGCCGAUGUCCGAUUAGCUGGUUGGUGGGGUAAUGGCCUACCAAGGCGACGAUCGGUAGCUGGUCUGAGAGGAUGAUCAGCCACACUGGGACUGAGACACGGCCCAGACUCCUACGGGAGGCAGCAGUGGGGAAUUUUGGACAAUGGGGGCAACCCUGAUCCAGCCAUGCCGCGUGCGGGAAGAAGGCCUUCGGGUUGUAAACCGCUUUUAGCCGGGACGAAAGCGCACGGGUGAAUACCCCGUGGGGUUGACGGUACCGGCGGAAUAAGCACCGGCUAACUACGUGCCAGCAGCCGCAGUAACAC